GUUCCCAUUGUGUAGCGGUUAGCACCUUGGACUUUGAAUCCAAAGACCCGAGUUCGAGUCUCGGUGGGACCU
rnacentral:tRNA from 1 species